GGGGAACUGAAACAUCUAAGUACCCCGAGGAAAAGAAAUCAACCGAGAUUCCCCCAGUAGCGGCGAGCGAACGGGGAGGAGCCCAGAGCCUGAAUCAGUGUGUGUGUUAGUGGAAGCGUCUGGAAAGGCGCGCGAUACAGGGUGACAGCCCCGUACACAAAAAUGCACAUACUGUGAGCUCGAUGAGUAGGGCGGGACACGUGGUAUCCUGUCUGAAUAUGGGGGGACCAUCCUCCAAGGCUAAAUACUCCUGACUGACCGAUAGUGAACCAGUACCGUGAGGGAAAGGCGAAAAGAACCCCGGCGAGGGGAGUGAAAAAGAACCUGAAACCGUGUACGUACAAGCAGUGGGAGCCUCUUUAUGGGGUGACUGCGUACCUUUUGUAUAAUGGGUCAGCGACUUAUAUUCUGUAGCAAGGUUAACCGAAUAGGGGAGCCGAAGGGAAACCGAGUCUUAACUGGGCGUUAAGUUGCAGGGUAUAGACCCGAAACCCGGUGAUCUAGCCAUGGGCAGGUUGAAGGUUGGGUAACACUAACUGGAGGACCGAACCGACUAAUGUUGAAAAAUUAGCGGAUGACUUGUGGCUGGGGGUGAAAGGCCAAUCAAACCGGGAGAUAGCUGGUUCUCCCCGAAAGCUAUUUAGGUAGCGCCUCGUGAAUUCAUCUCCGGGGGUAGAGCACUGUUUCGGCAAGGGGGUCAUCCCGACUUACCAACCCGAUGCAAACU
rnacentral:rRNA from 1 species